UACGUAGGGUGCAAGCGUUGUCCGGAAUUAUUGGGCGUAAAGAGCUCGUAGGCGGUCCGUCACGUCGGCUGUGAAAACCUGGGGCUCAACCCCGGGCCUGCAGCCGAUACGGGCGGACUAGAAUUCGGUAGGGGAGACUGGAAUUCCUGGUGUAGCGGUGAAAUGCGCAGAUAUCAGGAGGAACACCGAUGGCGAAGGCAGGUCUCUGGGCCACUACUGACGCUGAGAAGCGAAAGCAUGGGGAGCGAACAGG
rnacentral:rRNA from 1 species